rnacentral:rRNA from 1 species
GUGCCAGCCGCCGCGGUACUACGGAGGGUGCAAGCGUUGUCCGGAAUCACUGGGCGUAAAGGGUGCGCAGGCGGGGCAGCAAGUCGGAGGUGAAAGCCCAUGGCUCAACCAUGGAAGUGCCUUCGAAACUGUUGCUCUUGAGUCCCGGAGAGGCUGUCGGAAUUCGUGGUGUAGCGGUGAAAUGCGUAGAUAUCACGAGGAACACCAGAGACGAAAGCGGACAGCUGGACGGGUACUGACUCUCAGGCACGAGAGCGUGGGGGGCAAACAGGAUUAGAAACCCCAGUAGUCC